rnacentral:sRNA from 1 species
UCUCCAAUGAUGAUGAUCUUUUGUGCUAUUUGGAAUGGAAUAAAAUAGAAUUCAGUGUUCUGCAUGUGGAGUUGGUAAAAGAUGACGGCGAGAAUCAACGGUCUGAGCAAAUUCGAGUUAGUGAAGGUGGUGAAGUAGGUGCAAGUAACAAGGAGUUUGUUUCUUGUGGAAUAACUCGAAGAGAUCAUGAUGAUGUCAUGAUUCUAUAUGAAAGUGAGCUGUGUGAACAGAAUAAGCAAGUUGAAAACAGUGAAGCUGUGGCAUGUGAAGAACAGGAAGAGAUGGCAUGUGAAGAACGGGAAGAGAUGGCAUGUGUAGAACGAGAAGAUGGCAUGGAUAACCAAGGUAUUGGGGUAUGUAAACGGGUAAACAAGGAAUGGGAAGAUGGUGUGAAUCUUACUAUAGGUCAAGAAUUUGGAAGUAAGAAAGCAGUACAAGAUCUACUUGAAAAGGGUGCACAUAAGAACUGUUUUGAGUAUGAUAUAAUGAAGUCGGAUCCAAUGUUGUAUGUGGUAAAAUGCACUGGAAAAAAAUUUGGCUGCAAGUGGUUUGUAAGGGUUGCUAAAGUUAAGAAUUCAGAAUGCUUCUCAGUUAGAACUUACAAUAAGAUGCAUUCAUGUUAUCGUUCAACUACAAGUACGCAAAAAAUAAAAUAAAAGGCACGCCACGGAUAGUAGCAUCAGUUUUGCGUGACGAUUAUCCGUGUAAGCUUAAGACUCCAUUUCCAAAAGUUAUCAUCCCGUUAGUUCAAUCAAGAGUUGGUGUUAAAGUGUCAUAUUCAACCGCAUGGAGAGGGAAAAGGGAUGCUGCUAAUGAGGAAAGUUACAAGACGUUGAAAUCCUAUUUGUAAAUGCUAGAGAUUACGAAUGAAGGAACUAUAUCAUUUGUGGAAUUAGAUGAAAAGAAGAAUUUUCAGUACUUAUUCUUUGCGUUGGGAGCUUGCAUUGAAGGCUUCAAUGCUAUGAGAAAAGUGAUCAUUGUGGAUGCGACUCACCUUAAGAUUGCACAAGGUGGAGUACUUGUUGUUGCUUUAGCUCAAGAUCUUGAACACCACCAUUAUCCUAUUGAUUUUGGUGUACUUGAUGGUGAAAAGGAUGUAAGUUGGAGUUGGUUUUUCGAGAAGUUGAAAUCAGUAAUACCGGACAGUUCUGAGCUUGUGUUCGUUUCCGAUAGAAAUCAAAGCCUUAUGAAAUCACAACGUGAAUUGUAUCCGCUAUCUCAACAUGGUUGUUGUAUAUAUCAUUUGUGUCAGAAUGUGAAAGGAGCAUGCAAUUACAGCAAGAAAAAAGUCGUUGGAAAAAAAUUCAUGGAAUGCGCUAAAGCUUAUACAGAGGCUGAGUUCUUGAAACUCUAUGGUGAUUUUAAGGAAAGGUAUCCAGCUGCAGCGGUAUAUCAAGAUAAACAUGUUGAAGAAAAAAAAUGGAGUAGAUGCUGUUUUCCAGGAGCAAGAUACAACAUAGACACGAGUA